rnacentral:rRNA from 1 species
GACAGAGGUGCCGAGCGUUAGGCGGAAUCACUGGGCUUAAAGCGUGUGUAGGCGGAUCGUUAAGUACCUUGUGAAAUCCCACGGCUUAACCGUGGAACUGCUUGGUAUACUGGCGAUCUUGAGCCACCUAGGGGCAACCGGAACAAAUGGUGGAGCGGUGAAAUGCGUAGAUAUCAUUUGGAACGCCAAUGGUGAAAACAGGUUGCUGGGGGGUGUGCUGACGCUGAGACACGAAAGCCAGGGGAGCGAACGGG